GGAAUAUUGCACAAUGGGCGCAAGCCUGAUGCAGCAACGCCGCGUGCGGGAAGACGGUCUUCGGAUUGUAAACCGCUUUUCUCAGGGAAGAAACAAAUGACGGUACCUGAGGAAUAAGCAUCGGCUAACUACGUGCCAGCAGCCGCGGUAAUACGUAGGAUGCAAGCGUUGUCCGGAUUUACUGGGUGUAAAGGGAGCGCAGGCGGGACUGCAAGUUGGAUGUGAAAUGUCGAGGCUUAACUUCGGAACUGCAUCCAAAACUGCCGUUCUUGAGUGGAGUAGAGGCAAGCGGAAUUCCGAGUGUAGCGGUGAAAUGCGUAGAUAUUCGGAGGAACACCAGUGGCGAAGGCGGCUUGCUGGGCUCUAACUGACGCUGAGGCUCGAAAGCGUGGGGAGCAAACA
rnacentral:rRNA from 1 species